AUUGAACGCUGGCGGCAGGCCUAACACAUGCAAGUCGAACGAGUGGCGGACGGGAGAGUAAUGUGUGGGAAACUGCCCGAUGGAGGGGGAAAACUACUGGAAACGGUCGCUAAUACCACAUACUAUCGUAUGUGCCCAGAUGGGAUUGGCUAGUAGGUGGGGUAAUGUCUCACCUAGGCGACGAUCCCUAGCUGGUCUGAGAGGAUGACCAGCAACACUGGAACUGAGACACGGUCCAGACUCCUACGGGAGGCAGCAGUGGGGAAUAUUGCACAAUGGGCGCAAGCCUGAUGCAGCCAUGCCGCGUGUGUGAAGAAGGCCUUCGGGUUGUAAAGCACUUUCAGCGGGGAGGCGUUACCCGCAGAAGAAGCACCGGCUAACUCCGUGCCAGCAGCCGCGGUAAUAC
rnacentral:rRNA from 1 species